AUUGAACGCUGGCGGCAGGCUUAACACAUGCAAGUCGAACGAGUGGCGGACGGGUGAGUAAUAUCUGGGAAACUGCCUGAUGGAGGGGGAUAACUACUGGAAACGGUAGCUAAUACCGCAUACCAUCAGAUGUGCCCAUAUGGGAUUAGCUUGUUGGUGGGGUAACGGCUCACCAAGGCGACGAUCCCUAGCUGGUCUGAGAGGACGACCAGACAAACUGGGACUGAGACACGGGCCAGACGCCGAGGGGAGGCAGCAGUGGGGAAUAUUGGACAAUGGGGGAAAGCCUGAUGCAGCAAUGCCGCGUGUAUGAAGAAGGCCUUCGGGUUGUAAAGUACUUUUAGCAGGGAAGCGUUAACCGCAGAAGAAGCACCGGCUAACUCCGUGCCAGCAGCCGCGGUAAUAC
rnacentral:rRNA from 1 species